rnacentral:rRNA from 1 species
GACGAACACUGGCGGCGUGCUUAACACAUGCAAGUCGAACGGAAAGGCCCUGCUUUUGUGGGGUGCUCGAGUGGCGAACGGGUGAGUAACACGUGAGUAACCUGCCCUUGACUUUGGGAUAACUUCAGGAAACUGGGGCUAAUACCGGAUAGGAGCUCCUGCUGCAUGGUGGGGGUUGGAAAGUUUCGGCGGUUGGGGAUGGACUCGCGGCUUAUCAGCUUGUUGGUGGGGUAGUGGCUUACCAAGGCUUUGACGGGUAGCCGGCCUGAGAGGGUGACCGGCCACAUUGGGAGUGAGAUACGGCCCAGACUCCUACGGGAGGCAGCAGUGGGGAAUAUUGCACAAUGGGCGGAAGCCUGAUGCAGCAACGCCGCGUGCGGGAUGACGGCCUUCGGGGUGUAAACCGCUUUCGCCUGUGACGAAGCGUGAGUGACGGUAAUGGGUAAAGAAGCACCGGCUAACUACGUG